rnacentral:rRNA from 1 species
UACAGAGGUCCCGAGCGUUGUUCGGAAUCACUGGGCGUAAAGCGCACGUAGGCGGAUCGUUAAGUCGGGGGUGAAAUCCCAGGGCUCAACCCUGGAACUGCCUUCGAUACUGGCGAUCUUCGAGUCCGGGAGAGGUGAGUGGAACUCCGAGUGUAGAGGUGAAAUGCGUAGAUAUCCGGAGGAACACCGGUGGCGAAGGCGGCUUCCUGGACCGAUCACUGACGCUGAGGCGCGAAAGCUAGGGGAGCAAACGGG